GACGAACGCUGGCGGCGUGCCUAAUACAUGCAAGUAGAACGCUGAAGGAGGAGCUUGCUUCUCUGGAUGAGUUGCGAACGGGUGAGUAACGCGUAGGUAACCUGCCUGGUAGCGGGGGAUAACUAUUGGAAACGAUAGCUAAUACCGCAUAAUAGUAGAUGUUGCAUGACAUUUGCUUAAAAGGUGCAAUUGCAUCACUACCAGAUGCACCUGCGUUGUAUUAGCUAGUUGGUGGGGUAACGGCUCACCAAGGCGACGAUACAUAGCCGACCUGAGAGGGUGAUCGGCCACACUGGGACUGAGACACGGCCCAGACUCCUACGGGAGGCAGCAGUAGGGAAUCUUCGGCAAUGGACGGAAGUCUGACCGAGCAACGCCGCGUGAGUGAAGAAGGUUUUCGGAUCGUAAAGCUCUGUUGUAAGAGAAGAACGAGUGUGAGAGUGGAAAGUUCACACUGUGACGGUAUCUUACCAGAAAGGGACGGCUAACUACGUG
rnacentral:rRNA from 1 species